rnacentral:lncRNA from 1 species
UCAUUCAUUUCCAUUUACAUUUCAUGCAACUUAUUUAUGUUUCAAGUCCUUUUCACUUUGCUCAUUUGAGCCAUAUCUUAUGAUUGGAUAUAUUGUUUAUUUGUAUUUUGUUUUGUUUAUGGUCUUAGGACCUUAAAACACCUAAUAACAACAAAAACCCUAAAAAACAUUUUGGUGGACUGUUGGACUUGAUCUGAGCUUUUGGACUUAGAACUAGGCAACAUUCC